UUAAGAUUUUAAAGACUGAAGAAGAAAGAUCGGUAGCUCAGGACGUUGAAAAUCGAUUCUCAAUUUUCAGACUACAGAAUCGAUCCCUGAAUUAUCACCAAAUUACGAUCUUACAAAUCGAUUUUCACUACGCCAUGCCGUUAGAAGUGAAGCUACGUAUCGCCAUUAACGAGAACGCAAGGGGGGGGGAAAUAGAAUGCAUAAGAAUCCAUAAGAAAACCAAAAGAUGAAGUAUGUGAUGUCUUUCCUCCAGAAUAUCAAGCAAGAGAUCAUCAUCCGCGGUUAUUCAGUUUAUCGAUAGUGAAGAAAGCCGCAAACAACUUAACCAAG